rnacentral:rRNA from 1 species
UACGGGGGGGGCAAGCGUUGUUCGGAAUUACUGGGCGUAAAGGGUUCGUAGGUGGCUCGCUAAGUCAGACGUGAAAUCCCUCGGCUCAACCGGGGAACUGCGUCUGAGACUGGAGAGCUUGAGUGCAGGAGAGGAACGCGGAAUUCCAGGUGUAGCGGUGAAAUGCGUAGAUAUCUGGAGGAACACCGGUGGCGAAGGCGGCGUUCUGGACUGCAACUGACACUGAGGAACGAAAGGCCAGGGGAGCAAAACGGGG